UGGGGAAUAUUGGACAAUGGGCGAAAGCCUGAUCCAGCCAUGCCGCGUGAGUGAUGAAGGCCUUAGGGUUGUAAUGCUCUUUUUGGCGGGGACGAUAAUGACGGUACCCGCAGAAUAAGCCCCGGCUAACUUCGUGCCAGCAGCCGCGGUAAUACGAAGGGGGCUAGCGUUGUUCGGAAUUACUGGGCGUAAAGCGCACGUAGGCGGAUCAGCAAGUCAGGGGUGAAAUCCCGGGGCUCAACCUCGGAACUGCCUCUGAUACUGCUAGUCUAGAGUCCGGAAGAGGUGGGUGGAAUUCCUAGUGUAGAGGUGAAAUUCGCAGAUAUUAGGAAGAACACCGGUGGCGAAGGCGGCCCACUGGUCCGGUACUGACGCUGAGGUGCGAAAGCGUGGGGAGCAAACAGGAUUAGAUACCCUCGUAGUCCCUGAGCGGGCUGGCAAGGCGCAU
rnacentral:rRNA from 1 species